GCAAGUCGAGCGAUGAACUUUAACAGAACCCUUCGGGGCGAAGAUAAAGUGGAUUAGCGGCGGACGGGUGAGUAACACGUGAGUAACCUGCCUUAGACAUUGGGAUAGCCUCGGGAAACCGGGAUUAAUACCAAAUAAAAUCAUAAUGACACAUGUCAUAACGAUCAAAACUCCGGUGGUCUAAGAUGGACUCGCGUCCCAUUAGCUAGUUGGUAGAGUAAAAGCCUACCAAGGCGACGAUGGGUAGCCGGCCUGAGAGGGUGAACGGCCACAUUGGAACUGAGAAACGGUCCAAACUCCUACGGGAGGCAGCAGUGGGGAAUAUUGCACAAUGGAGGGAACUCUGAUGCAGCGACGCCGCGUGAACGAAGAAGGCUUUCGAGUCGUAAAGUUCUUUUAUAUGGGAAGAUAAUGACGGUACCAUAAGAAAAAGCCCCGGCUAACUACGUGCCAGCAGCCGCGGUAAUACGUAGGGGGCUAGCGUUGUCCGGAAUCACUGGGCGUAAAGGGUUCGCAGGCGGAAAUGCAAGUCAGAUGUAAAAGGCAGUAGCUUAACUACUGUAAGCAUUUGAAACUGCAUAUCUUGAGAAGAGUAGAGGUAAGUGGAAUUUUUAGUGUAGCGGUGAAAUGCGUAGAUAUUAAAAAGAAUACCGGUGGCGAAGGCGACUUACUGGGCUCAUUCUGACGCUGAGGAACGAAAGCGUGGGUAGCAAACAGGAUUAGAUACCCUGGUAGUCCACGCUGUAAACGAUGAGUGCUAGGUGUCGGCGAAUGU
rnacentral:rRNA from 1 species